UACAUGCAACUAUGCCAUGACCUUACGGAAUUGGUGCACUUAUUAGAUCAAAACUAACCCGGCUUGCCGGUUGUUUUGGUGACUCUGGAUAAUUUAUCUGAUCGCAGGGCCUUUGUGUCGGCGACGAAUCUUUUAAAUGUCUGCCCUAUCAACUGACGAUGGUAGGUGAUUUGCCUACCAUGGUGAUAACGGGUAACGGGGAAUCAGGGUUCGAUUCCGGAGAGGGAGCCUGAGAAAUAGCUACCACAUCCAAGGAAGGCAGCAGGCGCGCAAAUUACCCACUCCCAGCUCGGGGAGGUAGUGACGAAAAAUAACGAUACGGGACUCAUACGAGGCCCCGUAAUCGGAAUGAGAACAAUUUAAAUCCUUUAACGAGGAUCAAUUGGAGGGCAAGUCUGGUGCCAGCAGCCGCGGUAAUUCCAGCUCCAAUAGCGUAUAUUAAAGUUGUUGCAGUUAAAAAGCUCGUAGUUGGAUCUGAGGAUUGGGGUGGAUGGUUAGCCUUUCGGCUUGACCGUCUGCUCAGCCUACACAGCCGUGGAUACCUUUAGUGCUCUUUACUGAGUGCUUUUGGUGCCCGGCAUGAUUACUUUGAAAAAAUUAGAGUGCUUAACGCAGGCUAUUGCUUGCAUAGUGUUGCAUGGAAUAAUGAAAUAGGACUUCGGUUCUAUUUUGUUGGUUUUCGGAUCCGAAGUAAUGAUUAACAGGGACUGCCGGGGGCAUUUGUAUGGCGGCGCGAGGGGUGAAAUCCUAAGACCGUUGCCAGACAAUCUAUUGCGAAAGCAUUUGCCAAGAAUGUCUUCACUAAUCAAGAACGAAAGUCAGAGGUUCGAAGACGAUCAGAUACCGUCCUAGUUCUGACCAUAAACGAUGCCAACUGAAGAUCCGGGGCAGUCGCUUGUACGACUGACCGGGCAGCCUCCGGGAAACCAAAGUUUCUAGGUCCCGGGGGUAGUAUGGUUGCAAAGCUGAAACUUAAAGGAAUUGACGGAAGGGCACCACCAGGAGUGGAGCCUGCGGCUUAAUUUGACUCAACACGGGAAACCUCACCCGGCCCGGACACUAUUAGGAUUGACAGAUUAAAGUUUUUUCUCGAUUUGGUGGUUGGUGGUGCAUGGCCGUUCUUAGUUGGUGGAGUGAUUUGUCUGGUUAAUUCCGAUAACGAACGAGACUCUAACCUGCUAAAUAGAGUGGCAAUAAAAAGUGGGCCUCGCUUCUUAGAGGGACUAAAGUUGUUUAAACGUACGAGAAAGAGCAAUAACAGGUCUGUGAUGCCCUUAGAUGUCCGGGGCCGCACGCGCGCUACAAUGACAGCACCAGCGAGUUGAUCCUGGCUUGAAAAGGCUGGGUAACCUGCUAAAUUGCUGUCGUUAAAGGGAUCGGAGCUUGUAAUUAUUCUCCGUCAACGAGGAAUUCCCAGUAAGCGCAUGUCAUUAGCAUGCGUUGAUCAAGUCCCUGCCCUUUGUACACACCGCCCGUCGCUACUACCGAUUGAAUGGUUUAGU
rnacentral:rRNA from 1 species